CACACUUGGUCCAUUGUCCUAUUUAUAGUUUUAAAAUCGGAGCUGUUCGUUGCGUUGCGCGAUUUCGCAGUUCCUUGGACCGCGAACAACUUCUGCAUGGAGUGGGGGACACUGCAGCACCUUGACCUGCGCAACGUUGGUCGUGGCGUGAGACCUCUGCAGCCACAUGCAGCUACCUUCCAUCCUCACCAAGCACUCGUUGCCGUCGCCAUUGGAACCUUCAUAGUCGACAACAAACUCGUGACUCGUGAGAAGCAAUACAUCAUGAGCACAAACAUGAGCUAUUUGUCUUGAUGGAAGAAUUAGUUACUUCAUUCAUAAAUAAACUAAAACAAUGAUAUCCAAUUUGAUGCUUGCUAGCCUUUGAAGUCAUUGUUCACUAAAAAGUACAUAACUUUUUGUAAAGUGUAAACCACCACAAUGGCAAUGCCUGGUAAACAUUUCUUAACUUACUCUUGAAUCUUUCAUUUCUGAAGGAAUGUACUAAUAAAAGCAAUCCUCCUCGUUGACCCAAUACAUCUGAGUCAUUGGUUUCCUGCGCUCUUGUGAAUUGACCGUGUGGACUAGACUUACCUUUUUUUUUUGUUCUGCUGCAUCAUUUUUAUUUUUUACUAUUUUUGGUAAAGGUGUUCCUAAUUGGUUUGGGAGAGUGUAUUGUAACAACUCCACAGAUGACAGGUGGGGAAGUGACUUUAGUGAAUUAGAAUACAGAGAAGGGAGAUGAGUGGGAUUGAGAAAGGAGGAAGCAAAGCCCUUGAAGAGUCUUAGCAUCUGCAAUUUUUCUUCUGUUUGAGCCUUUAUCUUUGAUAUUUUAUUUUACACAAAUCCUUAUAUGACACUAAUACCAGAAGCUAAAGGACCUUGUAGAGAUUCCUUCAAUAAAACUGUGUUAUAGUUCUAGUUUCCUAUCUCUGAGUUUGUAUAAUUUAUUUUUUGGUUCCCCAUCUCAUGGCUCACUUGACAGGUUCCCCGAGAAGCUGCUGCUUCUGUAUGCUUCAAGACUGGACUUGCUCACCUUGAAUUAAAUCAUCUUUCAGAUACUUUGUCUUGCUUUGAUGAAUCUUUUCUUGCAUUAGCUAAAGAACAAUCUCGUGGAAGUGAUAUAAAAGCUCAAGCAUCAAUCUGUGCUCAAUACAAGAUAACAGUCACUCUUCUUCAGGAAAUUGGACGUUUGCAAAGAGUUCAUUGCCUCUUCUCGCCAAGCACAGAAUAAAUUGCAUUCGAACUGCCAUAAAACGAAAUAUAGCGGUGCAAAAUUAUGCAUAUUCCAAGCAAAUGUUAGAACUACUAUUGUCUAAAGCACCUCCAAGCAAGCAGGAGGAAUUUAGGAGCCUCAUCCACUUGUGUGUUCAGAGGGGUUUGACUAAUAAGUCCAUUGAUCCAUUGGAAGAUCCAUCGCAAUUCUGUGCUGCCACAUUGAGCAGGCUGUCAGCCAUUGGAUAUGAUGUCUCUGAUCUCUGUGGAUCUAAAUUUUCAGCUGUGACUGCACCUGGAUGCAUAAUCUGUGGAAUGGGAAGCAUCAAAAGAUCAGAUGCAGUCACAGGACCAGUUCCUUCACCAUUUGGUUGAGUCACCCAGAUUAUAUUUGCUUGUACUGUGUGUUCCCUUGCAAUGCUGUUGUAUAGAGAUACACAACUCCAUCGUAGGGAGGGAUAUAUACAACUGGGGAAAAUUCUCACAAGUCUAGGAAAAUUAUAGCUUCUACAUUUUGUGCACACACGGCUUCAGUUUUGUUAUGAUUAUUUGUGAUGGCCCGGGUUUUCCUUUUGUUUUUCCAAUUGCCAUCCAGGUGACGCUUUCUAUGUAAUUACAGAAUGUUGUUUUCCAGUCAUUUUCUAACUUAUAUUGACCAUUUGUGAACAUAGAAACACAAAUGCUGAUUCAGAGAAUAAACAAGUUUGCUUUAUAAGAAACCGCCAU